CGAAUGCUGACAUAAGUAACGAUAAAGCGGGUGAAAAGCCCGCUCGCCGGAAGACCAAGGGUUCCUGUCCAACGUUAAUCGGGGCAGGGUGAGUCGACCCCUAAGGCGAGGCCGAAAGGCGUAGUCGAUGGGAAACAGGUUAAUAUUCCUGUACUUGGUGUUACUGCGAAGGGGGGACGGAGAAGGCUAUGUUGGCCGGGCGACGGUUGUCCCGGUUUAAGCGUGUAGGCUGGUUUUCCAGGCAAAUCCGGAAAAUCAAGGCUGAGGCGUGAUGACGAGGCACUACGGUGCUGAAGCAACAAAUGCCCUGCUUCCAGGAAAAGCCUCUAAGCAUCAGGUAACAUCAAAUCGUACCCCAAACCGACACAGGUGGUCAGGUAGAGAAUACCAAGGCGCUUGAGAGAACUCGGGUGAAGGAACUAGGCAAAAUGGUGCCGUAACUUCGGGAGAAGGCACGCUGAUAUGUAGGUGAAGUCCCUCGCGGAUGGAGCUGAAAUCAGUCGAAGAUACCAGCUGGCUGCAACUGUUUAUUAAAAACACAGCACUGUGCAAACACGAAAGUGGACGUAUACGGUGUGACGCCUGCCCGGUGCCGGAAGGUUAAUUGAUGGGGUCAGCGCAAGCGAAGCUCUUGAUCGAAGCCCCGGUAAACGGCGGCCGUAACUAUAACGGUCCUAAGGUAGCGAAAUUCCUUGUCGGGUAAGUUCCGACCUGCACGAAUGGCGUAAUGAUGGCCAGGCUGUCUCCACCCGAGACUCAGUGAAAUUGAACUCGCUGUGAAGAUGCAGUGUACCCGCGGCAAGACGGAAAGACCCCGUGAACCUUUACUAUAGCUUGACACUGAACAUUGAGCCUUGAUGUGUAGGAUAGGUGGGAGGCUUUGAAGUGUGGACGCCAGUCUGCAUGGAGCCGACCUUGAAAUACCACCCUUUAAUGUUUGAUGUUCUAACGUUGACCCGUGAUCCGGGUUGCGGACAGUGUCUGGUGGGUAGUUUGACUGGGGCGGUCUCCUCCUAAAGAGUAACGGAGGAGCACGAAGGUUGGCUAAUCCUGGUCGGACAUCAGGAGGUUAGUGCAAUGGCAUAAGCCAGCUUGACUGCGAGCGUGACGGCGCGAGCAGGUGCGAAAGCAGGUCAUAGUGAUCCGGUGGUUCUGAAUGGAAGGGCCAUCGCUCAACGGAUAAAAGGUACUCCGGGGAUAACAGGCUGAUACCGCCCAAGAGUUCAUAUCGACGGCGGUGUUUGGCACCUCGAUGUCGGCUCAUCACAUCCUGGGGCUGAAGUAGGUCCCAAGGGUAUGGCUGUUCGCCAUUUAAAGUGGUACGCGAGCUGGGUUUAGAACGUCGUGAGACAGUUCGGUCCCUAUCUGCCGUGGGCGCUGGAGAACUGAGGGGGGCUGCUCCUAGUACGAGAGGACCGGAGUGGACGCAUCACUGGUGUUCGGGUUGUCAUGCCAAUGGCACUGCCCGGUAGCUAAAUGCGGAAGAGAUAAGUGCUGAAAGCAUCUAAGCACGAAACUUGCCCCGAGAUGAGUUCUCCCUGACUCCUUGAGAGUCCUGAAGGAACGUUGAAGACGACGACGUUGAUAGGCCGGGUGUGUAAGCGCAGCGAUGCGUUGAGCUAACCGGUACUAAUGAACCGU
rnacentral:rRNA from 1 species